GGGAGCAUGCUCCGAGUACUCUGACUGGAAAAGUAAACCAGCUAGAAGUCAUCCUCCGGCAACUUCAAACGGACCUGAGAAAGGAAAAACAGGACAAGGCAGUUCUCCAGGCAGAGGUACAGCAUCUGAGGCAAGAUAACAUGAGGCUUCAGGAGGAGUCUCAAACAGCAGCUGCUCAACUGAGGAAAUUUACAGAGUGGUUUUUCAAUACGAUAGACAAAAAAUCCUAAUGGCUGGGCCGCUGGAAAAAUACUUAUUGGAACAAUGUAACAGCUGUAUUUUUUUGAAUUAGCGGGGUAAUAAUUUCACUGUGUUCACAAUCCAUUUUAGGUGUUUCUGCUACAUUCUCUAUCCAGCUUUAUUCACUUGAAAAGGAGAGAGAACUGUGGUCACCCAUCUUUAAAUCCCUGUGAAGAAAGCGGAGAGUAGCAGAUAUUUGUUUGUGUGCAGAUGAAUGUAAAAAAUCCUUAGUGUCAUUUUAGACAUUUUUAGAAGAUGCUCUGGCUGGGGCUUGCCUGAAGAGGAAUAUUUGGGGUUUUAGUUCCUGCAUUUCAGGUGCGCUGGUGAAGAUGUUAAAGCAAUUUACAUUAGCUUGGGCUUCGGUAUUGUAAGAUAAAAAGAAUAACCAGACAUAUACUUUAAUGUUUAAAAGGUGCUCUAUUUUUUUGGAUGUACAGUAGGUUUAUUUCCACGGUCCACAUUGUCAUAGCAAUAACAAUGGAGGUAUAGUGAAUAGUCACAAAGCUGUGUUUAUAAAAUGUUAGCACUGAUGUGUUUAACACUAGUUUGGAUGCAGAUACAUUAGAGAUUAUUUAUUUGCAGGAACAAACGGUGCCUGAAUAUAAACAGUGUUCUGAUUUUCUAAAAAUACACAUGCCUUGUAAAUGGCUCACUGGGGUUAGCCCUCUCCCAACUUCAGUUACUUUUGUAUAGUUGAUGUUCAGCUAAACAGUUAUACUGCUUCACUGUUGGAAUCAUGUAUGGUGCGAGCCAGCCGAUCAAUUGUACAAUGCCAAAUUUGUUUAUCUUUGUACAGAAGCUUUGAUCAAGUGUCUUGUAUUUAACACCUUUAUUUAAGCUUAUUUAACCUUAAAUUGUUGUUUUUAUAAAGUUUAUUUUAUCUGCACUAUGGUGAGGUCAGUUGGUUGCAAGUUGUAAGAUUUUUAGCUUGCCAAGACUGUACUGAGGAGUUCUAGGAAAUUCUAACAAUUGGAUGCUGCUAGUCCACGACUGAUUUGUUUGUAUGCUUUAACAUUUUUAACUGUUUAAUUUGAAAUGAACAUACAUCCUGCUUUUUUAAUAAAUGUUAAAAACCUAAACGUGAA